rnacentral:rRNA from 1 species
UACGUAGGAGGCGAGCGUUGUCCGGAAUUACUGGGCGUAAAGAGCUCGUAGGUGGUUUGUCGCGUUGUCCGUGAAAACUCACAGCUCAACUGUGGGCGUGCGGGCGAUACGGGCAGACUGGAGUACUGCAGGGGAGACUGGAAUUCCUGGUGUAGCGGUGGAAUGCGCAGAUAUCAGGAGGAACACCGGUGGCGAAGGCGGGUCUCUGGACAGUUCCUGACACUGGAGGCACGAAGGCCAGGGGAGCAAACGGG